rnacentral:misc_RNA from 1 species
UUUCCGUAGGUGAACCUGCGGAAGGAUCAUUAUCGUACAAAAUGUGAGGGGCAUGCGAGGGCUGUCGCUGACCCAAAAGUCGUGCACGCCCGAGUGUGUCCUCUUGCAUAAUAAUCCAUCUCACCCUUUGUGCAUCACCGCGUGGGCACCCCUUUGGCUUGUUCGGAGGGGGGCUUACGUUUUCACACAAACUUUGUAUGCAGUGUAGAAUGUAUUUUUUGUUUUUGCGAUCACGCAAUCAAUACAACUUUCAACAACGGAUCUCUUGGCUCUC